GAACAGAUGUAGCCACCAUCUUAUACUCUGUGCAAAAGAAAACAUCCAUGUCAUAUACAACAGCCUGUGUUCAAUCUUUUAAAAAGCCUCUCUAUCAAGGCUUAAACAAGUGUUAUUAAUCAUUUGUUGGCACUUAAAAACCUCCAUAUUUUAACCAUCAUUAAAUCAACAAUUACAUAACGCUGAUGUAAUGAUGUACAGUCAGUUUAAGAUAAAUGUUAGUGUUGUCCUUGACUCCCCCUUUUCAGCACUCACAUGCUCCCACAUGUAGAAAGCUACAAUAACGCUACAUUCAGAUUUCAGUAACGAAAUAAUGUGUGAGGUGAGCUCAGUCUUUACCCUGACCUGUUGGACCAGCCUGGGCUGCAGAGCCAGUUAUGUACACAGAUACCCUGUGAUUAGGACCUGGGGAACUGGUUCCUAACAACAGACUGAGUGACAGCAUGUAGAGGAAUAGCAACGUCAACUCCACCUUUCACACACUGACUAACUGGUGGUCCUGAACUCAAAAAGGACAAGUUUAAUUCAGUUUGGUUUUGGGGUGGGGAUGCUAUCGCUUUUUUUCAGGUUUUGCGACAUCCAGACCCUCAGCCAUCAAAACUGUCAAUUGAAACCAAUAGAAGCCAUACUUGUUUUUGUGUGUGAUUUACAUAGGGUGUUUGUUCUAAGUUCCACUUUUCAGUGUGUGUGAGAUUGAUAGUGAUAAAGGGAGGUGUGUGUGUAUCGCACCAGUCUCAGCAUGCUUUCUGUUGAUUCUGUGAAACUAUAAAGUGCCCUGCCUUAACAGAUCUGUGAUUACAUAGAAGUGAAAUGAACUGUGAUAUUGUUGCACCUCCCUCCCUGUAUAGCUUGUACCUCACUGUCUUCUUCGUCUUCUCUCUCGCAGGUAUAACAAACUCUUACCUGACAGACAGUCUGGCCACCUGUGAUACCACUCUAAUUUAUAUUGAGAACCCAUGGUAUUGUGGUUCAUGUAUGUGAGCAUAAGAAACUGCCUAUGCAAACUCUCUGUACUGACUGAAUUAAAGCUCAGACACACCGGUAGGAUUGUCAAACGUUUGCCUGCCGACAGUACUUAGCACCUCUGAACAGUGUCGGAAGUCAAUCUCUUUUGUGUUCAAACAGCAAAGACCUUGGAAGGCGACAGCUUGUAUCCCCUCUAUACCGGCCUCCUACACAACAAACCCUGAGACAUACUGCAGGGUGUGGUAGUUGGUGUGGAUGAGGACAUAGCCUACUCCUGGCCAGUCUGCAGCUUAUGUGGGAGUGACUGCUUGGAGAUGGCACCCCAAAAGCUCUCCAACAGAGCACCAUCAUGCCUGUGUGUUACUCUGCAGCCUCUGGCCAUGAGGGGAGUUCUCUCUCGCUCACCUGUUAUGUAAUAUACGGUUGCAAGAUGGAGAAUGUGUUGGGGAGGGAGGUGGGCCCCAUCA